rnacentral:rRNA from 1 species
GGCGGCAGGCUUAACACAUGCAAGUCGAACGGGUGUAGCAAUACAUCAGUGGCAGACGGGUGAGUAACACGUGGGAACCUUCCUAGGGGUACGGAACAACUCAGGGAAACUUGAGCUAAUACCGUAUACGUCCGUGAGGAGAAAGAUUUAUCGCCCUUAGACGGGCCCGCGUCGGAUUAGGUAGUUGGUGGGGUAACGGCCUACCAAGCCUACGAUCCGUAGCUGAUCUUAGAGGAUGAUCAGCCACACUGGGACUGAGACACGGCCCAGACUCCUACGGGAGGCAGCAGUGGGGAAUCUUGGACAAUGGGCGCAAGCCUGAUCCAGCCAUGCCGCGUGAGUGAAGAAGGCCUUAGGGUUGUAAAGCUCUUUUACCAGGGACGAUAAUGACGGUACCUGGAGAAUAAGCCCCGGCAAACUUCGUGCCAGCAGCCGCGGUAAUACGAAGGGGGCUAGCGUUGUUCGGAAUUACUGGGCGUAAAGCGCACGUAGGCGGGUCGUUAAGUCAGGGGUGAAAUCCCGGAGCUCAACUCCGGAACUGCCUUUGAUACUGGCGAUCUAGAGAUCGAGAGAGGUGAGUGGAAUUCCGAGUGUAGAGGUGAAAUUCGUAGAUAUUCGGAAGAACACCAGUGGCGAAGGCGGCUCACUGGCUCGAUACUGACGCUGAGACGCGAAAGCGUAGGGAGCAAACAGGAUUAGAUACCCUGGUAGUCUACGCUGUAAACGAUGCGCACUAGGUACGAGAGGUUCUGACGCCGAUCGUGCCGAAGCAAAAGUGCUAAGUGCGCCGCCUGGGGAGUACGGCCGCAAGGCUAAAACUCAAAGGAAUUGACGGAAGGGCGAAUUC